rnacentral:rRNA from 2 species
ACGAGGAGCUUGCUCCUCUGACGUUAGCGGCGGACGGGUGAGUAACACGUGGAUAACCUACCUAUAAGACUGGGAUAACUUCGGGAAACCGGAGCUAAUACCGGAUAAUAUAUUGAACCGCAUGGUUCAAUAGUGAAAGACGGUUUUGCUGUCACUUAUAGAUGGAUCCGCGCCGCAUUAGCUAGUUGGUAAGGUAACGGCUUACCAAGGCAACGAUGCGUAGCCGACCUGAGAGGGUGAUCGGCCACACUGGAACUGAGACACGGUCCAGACUCC